UCAAGCGAACAAGUGCAUGUGGUGGAUGCCUUGGCGAUCACAGGCGAUGAAGGACGCGGUAGCCUGCGAAAAGCGACGGGGAGCUGGCAAACGAGCUUUGAUCCGUCGAUGUCCGAAUGGGGAAACCCACCUCUUUUGAGGUAUCCGUAACUGAAUACAUAGGUUACGUGAAGCGAACGCGGUGAACUGAAACAUCUAAGUAACCGCAGGAAAAGAAAUCAACCGAGAUUCCCAGAGUAGUGGCGAGCGAAAUGGGACCAGCCUGUACUCUUUAUUCUUACUGUUAGCCGAAAGCUCUGGAAAGUGCUGCCAUAGCAGGUGAUAGCCCUGUAGGCGAAAACAGUUUGAAAGAACUAGGUGUACGACAAGUAGGGCGGGACACGUGAAAUCCUGUCUGAAGAUGGGGGGACCAUCCUCCAAGGCUAAAUACUCGUGAUCGACCGAUAGUGAACCAGUACCGUGAGGGAAAGGCGAAAAGAACCCCGGGAGGGGAGUGAAAUAGAUCCUGAAACCGCAUGCAUACAAACAGUCGGAGCCUCGCAAGGGGUGACGGCGUACCUUUUGUAUAAUGGGUCAGCGACUUACAUUCAGUGGCAAGCUUAACCGAUUAGGGCAGGCGUAGCGAAAGCGAGUCCGAACAGGGCGUUCAGUCGCUGGGUGUAGACCCGAAACCAGGUGAUCUAUCCAUGGCCAGGAUGAAGGUGCGGUAACACGUACUGGAGGUCCGAACCCACUAACGUUGAAAAGUUAGGGGAUGAGCUGUGGAUAGGGGUGAAAGGCUAAACAAACCUGGAAAUAGCUGGUUCUCUCCGAAAACUAUUUAGGUAGUGCCUCGUGUAUCACCUUCGGGGGUAGAGCACUGUCAUGGUUGUGGGGUCCAUUGCGGAUUACUACGCCAUAGCAAACUCCGAAUACCGAAGAGUGCAAUCACGGGAGACAGACAUCGGGUGCUAACGUCCGGUGUCAAGAGGGAAACAACCCAGACCGCCAGCUAAGGUCCCCAAAUAUUGCUAAGUGGGAAACGAAGUGGGAAGGCUAAAACAGUCAGGAGGUUGGCUUAGAAGCAGCCAUCCUUUAAAGAAAGCGUAAUAGCUCACUGAUCGAGUCGUCCUGCGCGGAAGAUGUAACGGGGCUAAGCAAUAUACCGAAGCUGCGGAUGCACAUUUAUGUGCAUGGUAGGAGAGCGUUCCGUAAGCCUGCGAAGGUGCAUUGAAAAGUGCGCUGGAGGUAUCGGAAGUGCGAAUGCUGACAUGAGUAGCGAUAAAGGGGGUGAAAGGCCCCCUCGCCGUAAGCCCAAGGUUUCCUACGCAACGUUCAUCGGCGUAGGGUGAGUCGGCCCCUAAGGCGAGGCAGAAAUGCGUAGCUGAUGGGAAGCAGGUUAAUAUUCCUGCACCAUUGUUAAAUGCGAUGGGGGGACGGAUCGCGGAAGGUUGUCCGGGUGUUGGAAGUCCCGGUCCUUGCAUUGGAGAAGGCGCUUAGGCAAAUCCGGGCGCGGAAUUCAA
rnacentral:rRNA from 1 species